UACGGAGGGUGCAAGCGUUAUCCGGAUUUACUGGGUUUAAAGGGUGCGUAGGUGGAUUGGUAAGUCAGUGGUGAAAUACUUUCGCUUAACGAAGGAACUGCCAUUGAUACUACCAGUCUUGAAUACAGUGGAGGUAGGCGGAAUGCGUCAUGUAGCGGUGAAAUGCUUAGAUAUGACGCAGAACACCAAUUGCGAAGGCAGCUUGCUACACUGUUAUUGACACUGAGGCACGAAAGCGUGGGGAUCAAACAGG
rnacentral:rRNA from 1 species